rnacentral:sRNA from 18 species
GUAAGCAACCCACUGCUUAAAGCAGUGGGCUUCAGCUAAACCCAGUUUAGUUGAAGCCAAGUUUACCAGACUAUCAGCCUUAAACAAGCUGGGUUUACAUUAAGUGUUAAAGUACUCACCUUGGGAUGCGUAGCUAGUUCCAAGCUCUGAA